rnacentral:rRNA from 1 species
AGAGUUUGAUCAUGGCUCAGAGUGAACGCUGGCGGCAGGCCUAACACAUGCAAGUCGAACGGCAGCACAGAGGAGCUUGCUCCUUGGGUGGCGAGUGGCGGACGGGUGAGGAAUGCAUCGGAAUCUGCCUAUUUGUGGGGGAUAACGUAGGGAAACUUACGCUAAUACCGCAUACGUCCUACGGGAGAAAGUGGGGGACCUUCGGGCCUCACGCAGAUAGAUGAGCCGAUGCCGGAUUAGCUAGUUGGCGGGGUAAAGGCCCACCAAGGCGACGAUCCGUAGCUGGUCUGAGAGGAUGAUCAGCCACACUGGAACUGAGACACGGUCCAGACUCCUACGGGAGGCAGCAGUGGGGAAUAUUGGACAAUGGGCGCAAGCCUGAUCCAGCCAUGGCCGCGUGUGUGAAGAAGGCCUUCGGGUUGUAAAGCACUUUUGUCCGGAAAGAAAAGCGCUCGAUUAAUACUCGGGUGUUAUGACGGUACCGGAAGAAUAAGCACCGGCUAACUUCGUGCCAGCAGCCGCGGUAAUACGAAGGGUGCAAGCGUUACUCGGAAUUACUGGGCGUAAAGCGUGCGUAGGUGGUUUGUUAAGUCUGAUGUGAAAGCCCUGGGCUCAACCUGGGAACUGCAUUGGAAACUGGCUUACUAGAGUGCGGUAGAGGGGUGUGGAAUUCCCGGUGUAGCAGUGAAAUGCGUAGAUAUCGGGAGGAACAUCUGUGGCGAAGGCGACACCCUGGACCAGCACUGACACUGAGGCACGAAAGCGUGGGGAGCAAACAGGAUUAGAUACC